UUCCAGCUCCAAUAGCGUAUAUUAAAGUUGUUGCGGUUAAAAAGCUCGUAGUUGAAUUUCUGUACAGUCCCGGUUCUGGCUUCGGUCAAGCCGUGGAUUGUGCAUCCGCUUGCAAAUCUAGCUCGGCCUUCACUGGUCGACUAGGGGAGUAAGCCCUUUACUUUGAAAAAAUUAGAGUGUUUCAGGCAGGCAAUGGCUCGAAUACAUUAGCAUGGAAUAAUGGAAUAGGACUUUUGUCCAUUUGGUUGGUUAUUGGACAUGAGUAAUGAUUAAAAGGGACAGUUGGGGGCAUUAGUAUUUAAUAGUCAGAGGUGAAAUUCUUGGAUUUAUUAAAGACUAACUUAUGCGAAAGCAUUUGCCAAGGAUGUUUUCAUUA
rnacentral:rRNA from 1 species